rnacentral:rRNA from 1 species
AACGAACGCUGGCGGCAGGCCUAACACAUGCAAGUCGAACGCUCCGCAAGGGGGAGUGGCGCACGGGUGAGUAACACGUGGGAACCUACCUUCUGGUACGGAACAACCAAGGGAAACUUUGGCUAAGACCGUAUACGACCUCCGGGUGAAAGAUUGAUCGCCGGAAGAGGGGCCCGCGUCCGAUUAGGUAGUUGGUGAGGUAACGGCUCACCAAGCCUUCGAUCGGUAGCUGGUCUGAGAGGAUGACCAGCCACACUGGGACUGAGACACGGCCCAGACUCCUACGGGAGGCAGCAGUGGGGAAUAUUGGACAAUGGGCGCAAGCCUGAUCCAGCCAUGCCGCGUGCGGGAAGAAGGCCUU